rnacentral:rRNA from 1 species
AGAGUUUGAUCCUGGCUCAGGAUGAACGCUAGCGGCAGGCUUAACACAUGCAAGUCGAGGGGCAGCGGGGGUAGCAAUACCUGCCGGCGACCGGCAAACGGGUGCGGAACACGUACAGAAUCUACCUUAAUCUGGGGCAUAGCCCGGAGAAAUCCGGAUUAACUCCCCAUAAUAUACAUGGAAGGCAUCUUUUGAGUAUUAAAAAUUUAUUGGAUUGAGAUGACUGUGCGUCCCAUUAGCUAGUUGGUAGGGUAACGGCCUACCAAGGCGACGAUGGGUAGCUGGUGUGAGAGCACGACCAGCCACACGGGCACUGAGACACGGGCCCGACUCCUACGGGAGGCAGCAGUGAGGAAUAUUGGUCAAUGGACGCAAGUCUGAACCAGCCAUGCCGCGUGAAGGAUGAAGGCCUUCUGGGUUGUAAACUUCUUUUACCUGGGAAGAAACCUCUUUUUUCUAAGAGAGUUGACGGUACCAGAGGAAUAAGCACCGGCUAACUCCGUGCCAGCAGCCGCGGUAAU